AGUGGGCAAGGGGCUAAGGGGAGGGGGGCCCAGUGCCAGCUGUUUAAAAGUGCCCCCGUGGCAGUGGCAGUGAGGAGGGGUGCCAGAGGUCCAGUCAAGUUAGUUGAGGAGCAGUGACACCUCCAAUCAUCCCCCAAACGGGCUGGUCCCCGUUUCCAGGUCACAAGGAGCCACACCUGGACCAGAACGCAGGAGAGGCAAGAGCACUGACUGGUGGAAGCCACCCCUGCAUCCCUGAUGCUAAAGGAACAAGCACCCCAGAGAGGGGCCUCCUGUGGACCCAAGGAGGGCUGGCAGCAGGGGCCCUGGACACAGAACUCCUCCCCAGAGCUUCCCGGCAGAAGACAGAGGUCCCCCCAGCUAAGCGACAUUUCCUGAAGACAGUGGGGAACAGAGAGGGAAAACAGCCCCUCCUCGGGCAGCAGCCCCCACAACUGCAGACAGCCAGAAGCAGGUAAUAUUCUGCCAGGUCAGACACUGGGGCCACCUGUUCAACUGCCUCCUUCGACAGAAAGAGAAAUGGAGCAACAGAGAGGAGAAGGGCUCGUGAGAAGUCUUCCGAGUGACCCCCCUGCUAACUGGAGACCCAGAGUGAGAAGAAGCCUCUCACGGGGUAAGUGGAACAGGAGAGCCAUCCACCGCCUUCUUAGUGAGGUCUCAUUGGAAGGAGACUGGGGAUCAGGGCUAAUGUAGCCUGCUUGCCCAGCUGGCACGCAAGACUCAAGGGAAGGGUGCCUGGGGCCAGGGAACCAGGAGGACACCCUUCCUGCAGUUCUGGCCUCCUCCCAAUCCAGCUGCACCACCUCCUCCUCCAGGAUGCCCUCCCAGGCCCCCCAGGGGCGAGAACCUCUUUGUCCUCUAAGCCCUUGGCAGUCCUUUCUCAGGCAGGCUGUUGUGCCACUGGUGCCACGCACCUUGCCAGGGGCAUUUUCCUUCUACCUUAGUACUGCUCUCCUCCAGGGUAAGGAUCACAUCAGAUUCAGACCUGUCUCCCCUUGGCACAUAGAAGCAGCACUCGGUUUGCUGAAAGGACAGGUGAAAUGCUUAGACCCUAUCCCCAAUCCCAGAGAACUGGUAAGUCAGUCAGUGGAUGAGACAUGCAGCAUGGAGUUUAAAAAUAAGGGUCCUGGGUCAGCUGUUCUGCUAGGAAUCCCAGCUGGGCUCCUAGCUCCAUGCCUUUGGAAAAUCCCCUGCCUAUGGAACCUUGGGGAUGCAUGAGGAUUAGCACAAUUAAAACAUUCAAUAAAUGACAAUUCUUAUUACCAUCAGCAUCACUAUGAUUUUUCUAGAUACUAAAGAACAGAACUAAGCAGCCUAUAGCCACAGAGAAUAUGGAGGCAAAUACUUUCCCCAGUCAAAGGUCUCAACCCCGACCCCGUGAAAGAGUUUCCCACAGGAGCGUGAGACUGCCUCCCAUCCACUUCCUGUUUCUACACCCAGGAGAGCUGCUAUCUUUGCGGCAAUAUUCUGAGUCCAGUGGGGUGUGCUGGAAAUAGCCAUCCAUUCCCCUGGUUCAAGCCAGGCUGUGACCUGGAACUGUCUCCUCCCCUUCCUGGCCUUCUAUGUGGAGGUGAUAAGGUUCCCCUGCCAAACGACCGACCGCCUGGCUGUUGUGCAGAUGAAAUGUGAGGGGCAGUUUUUCAAAAGGCAGGCGCUCAGGUGCCCCCUUUCUUAUUUUUGCCAUAUCUGCAAGCAAUUACAAUAUUUUAAAAUUUAAGAUGAGUCCUUUUUAAUACCUAAGUAUAAAUGGCUACUGUAAAAGGGAAACUAGAACACUAUCCAUGAUUAGGAAAUAAUACAGUUAAGACAAAAGACCAUAGAAGUGCAACAGUGUUCUUACUCUUUCCCCUGGUACUGUGGCUUGCAAGACCCUGGGCCUGAGGGAGAUAGACAGGAGCCAGAAAAGUGUCAGAGACAGGAUAGCACCCAACUGAGGCUCUCUUCCCCAGGGAAACAGAAGGCCUGCAAGCAGUCUUCCAAAGUUAGCACUCAGGCCACAUACUCCGCAAAAUCGCUUGCUCCCCUUGCUGUGCUGCGUUUAGGAUGCCAAGGGUGGUCAGGAGAAAGACCUUUGCAAAGAGUCCCACACCAAGGAAUGCAGGGGGCUGGCCUUACCAGCUUGCCUCCCAGCAGCAAAUGAUCGCUUUUUCAGGACAACCCUCCCCAGCUUCUUACUGAAAGCUCCAUGUUGGCCAAGACAAGUGUUUUUUCUGCAGGGCUAGUGGGAGACAUCUGAGAGCGGACUAGACAGGCUGUGGCCUGCCCAGGACCCCCCAAGGUGGAUCCUGAUGUUGGAAUCACUCCCCAGCCAAAUGAAGUUUGGAAAGAGUUCCUAUGCAAGAAUUACCAUAUUAGAGGAAGGCAGUUCUUUAGGUGGGAAUACCUCAGGAAGGGGCUGUCCCACUCAGCAGGCCACUGGGCCUGAUCUGCCGCAAGUGGCAGACCAGAGGAAAACACUCUUCAGAUAGGGGCCUGAUUUCAAAUUUCUGCCAGAGGCCUAAGAGACACUAUUUUUUACGGAGGUAUAUGUGUUUUCCUGCUCUCUCCCAGCCGGAGAAAAGGCUGCCAAGAUGGCAGUAUAUGUCAUCCAGCAUUAAGGCCACCACAGAUGGCAUCAGCAAUGCAGGAGGGUGCUCCGGGGGUGCCCUGAGAUCUUGGUAGGGCAGGAGAAGUGUAGGCAGGGCUCUGCCUGCCCACUCAGAGUUUCCCACCCAAGCCAUGUCUUGAGAGGAAAAUGAAUUAUUUACAUGGCCAAUCAUCUACCAAGUGGCAUUCUCUGGGGCCCACUAUGACGUACAAAGGUCUCCACAAGGCCGAGGGACCCCACCAUUAACAAGUGUGGGUACUGUCCUCAGGGAACUGGAGAUCUACCCCAAGUCAGACCCAGAUGUAAAUAGCUUUGACAAUGGAGAGAAUGUGAUCGAAGAAUACGAUUCAGCCACUCAGACAAUGUAUGUUACAUAUCUACCAUCACAAGUGUGGUAAAGGACUAGAAAGAGGGCACAGAAUGUGUACAGACAUGGACCAAGGUCUCCUGGUGUCUGAGGGAGUCAGGGAGAGCUUCACAGAAGAAGAGGCCAUUUGAGUAGAGACUCAGCCCACCAAGAGGAGACAGGCAGGAGAAUCAUGGGGAGCAGUUUGGUACCUGGGAGCCCUGAGGUGGGGGGCACAGGGCUCCCUGGAGGAGAAAGGGGGCAAGGGCCCAAGAGGAAGAGGCCAGAUGGGGUGGACCUCGUAGCUUUUGGUGACGGUUUCAGAAUUUAGCCAGAGAGCAGUGGGAGACCUUUCAGCAUCUUAAGCCUGGGUGAGACAUAGGCAUAUUUGCAUUUUGAGAAAUCACUGUGUGAGGAUGGCUGGGAAAUUACUGGGAGUAGAAGCAGGGAGACCAGGUAGGAGACCAAAGCAAACAUUUACUGAUUAAAAUAUAAAGUACCACGAAUGUGCUGUUUGGCUGGGAUGCAUCAAGCAUAAAGAUAGGAUGUGGGGUCAAAAAGGUAGGCUGUCCUGUUGGCUGGCUCUAUUUACUGAUAUGUCUAGAAAAGUCAGCUCCACAGAGACAGCAGGUGAUGGGAGGCUGGGAGGGGUUAUUUGGUGAGAGGGUUCUUUUGGAGCAAUGAAAUGUUCUAACAUGGACUGUGGUGAUGGUGACACCACUUUGUGAAAGGAUUAAAAACCAUUUCAUUGUACAUUUUAACUGGGUGAAUUAUAGCUCAAUAAAACUUAAAAAAAAAAAAAAAAAAAACGAAAGAAAGAAAGAAAAGGAAGGUUGAGGCUUGGUUCCAGAGGGCGCAAGUGCCAGGCUGAGGACAGGAAACACAUCCUGGGUAGUUACAGCAGUUUCUGGAGCAAGAGCUGGAGGGUGGAGCUGAGGCCCCUCUAACGCCCGUUCUCCUGCCUAGGGCGGACUCCCUGCCAUCAGCCCCCCACACAGAGCAGCGUGGCGCCCUGUCUCCCAGCCUGAGGUGCAGUGCUGCAUCUCUGGUCAGUUGGGAGUCUGAGAUGAAGCACUGUAGCUCAGGAAGGGAGAAGUUGUUCUGCGGCCGGCCGGCAGCCUGGGAGCGGUAAGUAGUAGAGGUGCUUGCAGGCACCAGGAAAGGACGGGAAUGUUUCCAGUCUCCAUCUUGUCAGCUGAGGAAGUUCCUGGACUCAAGUUCUACCUGUGCCACGAUCUGCUUUGUGAUUCUGGGCAAGUGCUGACUCCUCUGUGUACCCCAGUUUGCCCAGCUGUAAAACGAGGUGUUGCAGCACUCAGUGGUGGCUAUUACUCAGCAACCUGACUCUGCUUUCUCUUUCUGAACCCAGGGUGGACACUGCUAAUCAGUCAAGGCAUCCUUUCUUGAAGCAUUCAGUUGCUUCAGAAUCCUUCUCAACACCAAGUUCUAGAGAGCUAGAACCCAGUUUCAAAGCGGAAACCCAGUCAUCAUCUGUGCAUUGGACAAUUCCUAAAAACACUUUCAGUGCUAAAGAUAAAAGUCCUGGGCUUUGAGUUAGGUUCUUCACUCUUUGCGGUAUUGCCUAAACUAAUCCAGGCAUCUCCCAAAUACCUCACCUCUCUCAGGGGCUUCAGACAAGCAAGGAGCAGCACAGGAAAAUUACUGGGCUAAGCACAAUUUUAUUUUAUUUUUCAACAAGUUUGGGAGGUGGGCAGUGUUACUGACCCAUUUUCCAGAUAAGAAAACUGACGCUGUUAGGUAACUCACCCAAGAUCACACAUUGAUUGUGUUGAGCCAGAGUUGUAGCCUAAUCUGUCUGCCUUCAGAUCUAUGUUCUUUUUUUUUUUUAAGUGGGGGUACUGGGGAUUGAACCCAGGACCUCAUGAAUGCUAAGCAUGCACUGUACCACUGAGCUAUACUCCCCCUUCAGAUCCAUAUUCUUACUGACUUAGGAACCUGGGGAUGGGGGAGCAGGAGGAGAACAUAAUAAAUCCUGCUCCGGUCUUGUCCUUACAUCUUGGGUCACUUUUAGCAAAGACAGACCCAAACACUUUCCAUCAAUCCUAUGGACUUCCUUCCUCCUACUCCCCUUUCCCCAUAACUAUAUUUAUCUCACUUUAUCCCGUAGGUCCUAUACUGUCCCAUUUUAUAGUUGGGGAAAGCUGAGGUUAAGUGACUUGCUGGAGGUCACCAGCGAGGAAAUUGCCAAACAGAGACUGGGAACCAGAUCUGUCAGGUUAAUUUAGAGUAAAACCCUCCCUCUGGCUGAAGACUCAGAAUACACAGGACCCAUGGCAAUCAUGGGGAGGUGGGGGUGCGGGGAGUUACCAGAUGGUUUCUAGUUGACAACAUGGCCUUUGACUACAGGGAAGGUACUUUCCAGGACACUUGAAGUUCCAGUCACUACUACUCCUGGAGCAAUCUCAUCCACAUCCCAAGAUACAUGGCACCCACGCUGGCUUCUGCAGAUGGGGCUGGAUGCAGAAGAAAACUCCAGCUGGUCCUUGGGGACAUGGCAGGGCCUUGGUGCUGACGGCCACUCUCUCACCUUGUCCUCACGGUCCAGUUUUCCCAGGAAUCCCUUAGAUGCUAAGAUGGGGAUUCCUGGAAAUACUGUUCUUGAGGUCAUGGUUCAACAGCUGGAUUCGCCUCCUUCCCACCCCAGAGUUGUCCCUAUGGGGCUUUGGCUCAAGCACAGCAUGAGGUCAAGUGGAAGGCCAUGUGCUGGAGGUAAGAGGGUUGUGGACUGUGUUCUUGACCUUUAAGUUGCUUUUCUUUCCAUUUUCUCCAUUUCGUAACAUCCUGUGAGUCUGGAAUUGGAAGUUCACCACUGUCCUGCUCUUGGGAAAUGUGUCCAGGCACUCAGCUGAGCAGUGGUUGAACCAGGACACCAUGAAGCAUGUGUUCUGCCUCCACCCCACCCCUCACCCCACUUCCCAGCAUGCCAAGCAGUAGGGGUCACAAGUAUCAAAUCAAUUAUUAUCAAUAAACGAAUAAAUGUACAUGAAUUUAUUUUUUAAAGUUUACUAAAUUAGUUAGGUAAACUAAAAAAACACAAGUUUUCGUUUGAUUUGGAAUGCAGCCACAGAAAAAUGAAAAAUGUUUCCAUCGAGGUAGAGAAGACAAAAAAGCUUAGAGUGCCCUCUUGUGGUGAUGCCUGCCUCCACCCAGUCCAGGAACAGUAGGGCUCACUUCUAGACACACACACACACGCAUGCAAGCGCUGAGAUUCCUUUUGCCACCCCAGACCCUUCUGAGCCAGUGACUGCUUAAGUCCCAUUCAUCAUCUCAUUACCAAUAUUGCCUCCAUAACUUACUUUAAUUUGCAUCACCUGGCUUCAACCUCAAAGCUCCUGAAGGUCAGUGGGAUGGUGAGGUUCAGAGAGGUGAAGUGACUAGCCCGAGAUCAUCCAGAUAGCAUAAGGCUGAGCCAGAACUGAUUCCAAGUUCACUGGCUUAUGCCAAUUCCUUAGCCAAAAGUAAAAACAGCAAAAAUAAAAAAAUAAAAGGAAGACCAUCUAAAUAGACAUAGAAAAUGUUAACUGAUUAAAUGCCAGAGACCUGAAGUGGCCCAGGAGCAACACUAGAACUUUAAACAAACCUCCUCCUAGUGCUUUUCAUGAAGUCGGUAGAGACAGUAAGAGCCAUGGCUCCAGGAUCCUCACUUUGGGGUCUGAUCACCACGUUCCCACAGACCAGGUGGCUCCCACACAUGUCUUCCUAAGAGGCCACAUUGAAGAUGUUUAUGAAGUAUGAGUUCCCCCUCCCCCUCAUCCACAGAGACUGGAGCCAACCUGACCAAGAAGAAAUCUGAUUUGCUCCGAAUAAUACUAUUUUGUGGGGGUAGAGUUCAAGUGGUAGAGUGCAUGCUUAGCAUGCACAAGGUCCUAGGUUCGAUCCCCAGUACCUCCUCUAAAAAAAUAAUUUAAAAAACCUAAUUACCCCCCCCCAAAUACUAUCUUCCACUCACUGAGUAUUUACAACUUACAGAGCACUGUACUAAACACUUUCACAGGCACUGUCUCAUUCAAUCCUCACUACAACCCAGUGAGGUAGGUUCUGUCAUUUACUCCUUUUCAGACAAGGCAGCCAAGGCCCAGAGAGGUGAGAGAACUGCCUAAGAUCAUACAGCUAAUAAGUUGUGGAGCUGGGUCAAAUCAAGUCUGUGUUUAUGCUUGUUACCUGCCCUUGCCCCCUUUCUCCCAUUUGGCCUCGCCUGGCAGAUAGGGCUAUCCCUGUGACUUUCCCAGGGGGAGAGGGUAAAACAAGCCUUCAGUGAGACCAGAGUGGUUCCUCCUGUGUUCUGUGACUAUAAUAAAGUGCUGGACCCUU